GGUCACUGACACGUACGGGUAUACCUCUUCCCGUCAUGGUAAUCUGUCGCGCUGGUCGUGUCUGACCAUUUGUUUGUCGGACGUAGCAACAGUAACUAAGGGGGGCGGGGCUCGGCGAAAGGCUAAUUCCUUUCUGAAACUACAAAAUA